UACGUAGGGACCGAGCGUUGUCCGGAUUCAUUGGGCGUAAAGAGCUCGUAGGCGGCUGCUCAAGUCGAAUGUGAAACCUCGAGGCUUAACCUCGAGCCUGCAUUCGAUACUGGGCGGCUAGAGUCUGGUAGGGGGAUCUGGAAUUCCUGGUGUAGCGGUGGAAUGCGCAGAUAUCAGGAGGAACACCAAUGGCGAAGGCAGCACUCUGGGACGUGACUGACGCUGAGACGCGAAAGCGUGGGGAGCAAACAGG
rnacentral:rRNA from 1 species